UACGGGGGGGGCAAGCGUUGUUCGGAAUUACUGGGCGUAAAGGGCUCGUAGGCGGCCAACUAAGUCAGACGUGAAAUCCCUCGGCUUAACCGGGGAACUGCAUCUGAUACUGGAUGGCUUGAGUUCGGGAGAGGGAUGCGGAAUUCCAGGUGUAGCGGUGAAAUGCGUAGAUAUCUGGAGGAACACCGGUGGCGAAGGCGGCAUCCUGGACCGACACUGACGCUGAGGCGCGAAAGCCAGGGGAGCAAACGGG
rnacentral:rRNA from 1 species